UCUGAAUCUGCGAACGGCUCCGCAAACCAGUUGUAAACUAUAGCAAGCAGGCUCGGGGUCGGCCUUCACGGGCUGGCCUCGGGUGAUAUGGAUAACCCUGGUAAUUCUGAGGCUAAUACAUGAACGUAGAACCCGGUUGACUAGGCUUCACGGCCCGGGAUGCUGGGGGAUGUGCGAUUGGCAGGCUUGGGUAACACCGGGAAAGGGCGCGCGUCCAGACCGCGCUAUAAAGGAUGGGCUCCUCACGGGGCCUGCCCCAGCGGCUCUUGCUGUGUGCUUCUGACCUAUCAACUA
rnacentral:rRNA from 1 species